UACGUAGGGAGCAAGCGUUGUCCGGAAUCAUUGGGCGUAAAGCGCGCGUAGGUGGCCUCGUAAGUCCGCUGUGAAAGUCAAAGGCUCAACCUUUGAAAGCCGGUGGAUACUGCGGGGCUAGAGUACGGAAGAGGCGAGUGGAAUUCCUGGUGUAGCGGUGGAAUGCGCAGAUAUCAGGAGGAACACCGAUUGCGAAGGCAGCUCGCUGGGACGGUACUGACGCUGAGGCGCGAAAGCGUGGGGAGCAAACAGG
rnacentral:rRNA from 1 species